GACACAGACCAUGUGUAUUUUAACACACCCUACAGCUUUCCACCCAGAGAGCAGGACAAUGACGGCAUGGACCAACACAACGUGGCAACCAUCCAUGCACUUUCAGCUGUCCAUGAAUGUUGACCAGACAAAGCCACAGAAAUGUACGGCAGUGUGACUGGAGUGAGAGGCAGCUGAUGUCCUAUGCCAUGGAACUGCUCAUAUACUCGGAGAAAUUCAGAAAAGCUCUGGACUCAUCUCAUUGUGUGGACAUUUUUAUUUUUUAUUUUUCGAAGGUUUUUGUAAGGCCAAUAAAAGCUGUUGCUGGAUGGUUCAUUUGUCUCAACUUUUUUUCUAAAGCCAAACUUUUCUGCUUUUGUGUUUACAGCAUAUUCUUUCCAGAUUAGUGUAUGGUCAAUAU
rnacentral:lncRNA from 1 species